rnacentral:tRNA from 1 species
UGCGGAUUGGUGUAAUGGUAGCACAUCGGACUCUGACUCCGCUAGUAGAGGUUCAAAUCCUCUAUCCGUAG